AUAACCGUCCGAAAGGAUGGCUAAUACCUGAUAAGACCACAGCCCUGAGGGGUGGUGGGAAAAGCGGGGGAUCGCAAGACCUCGCGCACCAAGAUGAGCUCGCGGCCCAUUAGGUAGUUGGAGAGGUAACGGCUCACCAAGCCAGAGAUGGGUAGCUGGUCUGAGAGGACGAUCAGCCACACUGGAACUGAGACACGGUCCAGACUCCUACGGGAGGCAGCAGUGGGGAAUCUUGCGCAAUGGACGAAAGUCUGACGCAGCCAUGCCGCGUGAGUGAUGAAGGCCCUCGGGUCGUAAAGCUCUGUCCAAGGGGACGAAAAAGGUGUUGGUGAAUAUCCAGCAUUUCUGACGGUACCCUUGAAGAAAGCACCGGCUAACUCCGUGCCAGCAGCCGCGGUAAUACGGAGGGUGCAAGCGUUGUUCGGAAUUACUGGGCGUAAAGCGCGCGCAGGCGGCAUUAUAAGUCGGGUGUGAAAUCCCUGGGCUUAACCCAGGACGUGCGCCUGAUACUGUG
rnacentral:rRNA from 1 species